rnacentral:rRNA from 1 species
UACAGAGGGGGCAAGCGUUGUUCGGAAUUACUGGGCAUAAAGGGCGCGUAGGCGGCCUGUUAAGUCGAACGUGAAAUCCCCGGGCUCAACCCGGGAACUGCGUCCGAUACUGGCAGGCUUGAAUCCGGGAGAGGGAUGCGGAAUUCCAGGUGUAGCGGUGAAAUGCGUAGAUAUCUGGAGGAACACCGGUGGCGAAGGCGGCAUCCUGGACCGGUAUUGACGCUGAGGCGCGAAAGCCAGGGGAGCAAACGGG